CCAUCCAAAAACCAGAGUGCCACUGGUCUCGCUCAGACGUGCUGAUGGCUGAGACUCAGUGAGAGCUGGGUGUUAAUAAUUACCUCCCACGUCCACGUGAGAUGCUAUUGCAGCUUGUUGUGCAAGUCCUGGGCUCACUUGCGAAAACUCAGAUGGUCUGAACCCCUCUCCCCAUCCCCACUGACCAAAAAGGAAAGUACUUGGAGGGUCUGGUGACCUGCACGGCAGCAGGGCUCUCCCAGCUCUUCCAUCUAUCUGUGCUUGCCCAGAAUAUAAAUGGGGUCCUCUCUGUACCUCUCCAGGCGUACGUAUGAUAGUUUUCCAUAUUCUGGGCAACACGAGUGCUGAGUAUCACAGGAAAUACCAACAACAUCUCCCCCAGAGAUUCUCCGCAGUCUGGCCCAGAGGUCACAGGACGCUUGUUUUUGCAUAUCUGUGGUGAAGAAUUGCAGUUGCAGAGAGCUGCGCUGCUCUGGAAAAAUCUCUAUUGCUGCCGGCAUCUUCACUCACUCACCAGCCCUUCACACAGAGCGGCCCAAAGGUUACCACCAUCAUCUGAGGCUGGAUCAUAGAGGGGAAUCUGCCCUGCCAAAUCAAUGAGAUGCAUCCUACUGCAUUGGGCUGGGUCUGCCUGCACUCAAGUCUCUCCUUGAGAAAUGGGUACUGCCAUACAGGUAUCUGUUGCUCCACGCUGUCUUCUCGACCACCAAGAUAAUCUUCAGCCUUGAAUCCAAUGCCUUCACUUCAGCUGCUCCUCCUAUAAAAACCAGGGUUGUGGUUAGGGUGACCUGUCUCCUAGUGACAGUUUCCCAAGGGGGAAUUGUGGGCAGGAGAAUGCAGGUGAAGAUGAGCUUCAGCUGGGUUUUCUCCUGAUCAGCAGCAGAGUUUUCCCUCCAGCCCCCAGGCUUACAGGUGCAUGCUUGUGCAGCCAGCUGUGCACCUGCAAACCCAAAACCCCUUGUUUCACCUUUCCUAAUAAGCAUGUAAUCAAAUUAAGGCAGCAACUCAUUAUAUGUGGUGGUAUCUUUUCCUGAAAUGGCUCUCUGCUAACCCAAAAUCUGGUAAUAAACAUGGAAACUCCUACAGUCUGGUGUGGUAUCAUCAUUAUUCUGUAGCAUAUCUGUAACAGCAAUGUUAAUAUAAUAUUAAAAAUUAAUGCCCAUAUUUCUAUUAAUAAUUAAUAUUACUUCGAUAUUAAUAACACUAAGCCAAAUGUUGGUACAGAACUCCUAAGUGGAGUGAGUAAAGGAAAGUGUUCAAACCAGGCUCUCUCUUAACAAGCUAUGUGUCCUGGAGAGUGAGACUUCUCCCUUUUGCAAAAGUGUUCCCAGGGCUGCAAGACUUUUGUUCUCUUUUCUCAUCUGAGUUCUCCUGCAAGGGCCUGCCCC